UACGUAGGGGGCAAGCGUUGUCCGGAAUUAUUGGGCGUAAAGCGCGCGCAGGCGGCCUUGUAAGUCUGUCGUUUAAACUCGGAGCUCAACUUCGAGUCGCGAUGGAAACUGCAAAGCUUGAGUGACAGAAGAGGAAAGUGGAAUUCCAACGUGUAGCGGUGAAAUGCGUAGAGAUGUGGAGGAACACCAGUGGCGAAGGCGACUUUCUGGGCUGUAACUGACGCUGAGGCGCGAAAGCGUGGGGAGCAAACAGG
rnacentral:rRNA from 1 species